UCAGGGUCCAGCUCCAAUUGAGCUUUUUUCCCCCUUUUUUACUCAUUCCUCAAUCUUUCAUUCUUCUCCAUCACAAAAACUAAAGUUAUCAUCUUUGCUAGUAAAACCAAGAAUCAUGGCUGAUCAAAAGGUAAAGCAAGUGUCAAAAAGGAAGAGCAACAUUUCAAGAAAGUGUGCUUCCCUUAUUAAAGAACAACGAGCCAGGCUUUAUAUUGUACGUCAAUGUGCCACUAUGCUUCUCUGCUGGUAUAUUCAAGGGGAUGAUUAACUUCAUCCUCAAUCCCAAAGUCUAAACUCCACAACUACUACAAUUAAACAUUACUACCAAAAUGAUCGUACCUCCUACUAUACGUCUAUGGCCUUAACUUUCCUUAUUUCUACUUGUAAUACAUAUGUCCUGCCCUGUGCUUAGCAAUCCAUCAUUUUCACGUGCUUGAUCCAGGCAUGUACGUCAGGGUACGUGUUGAAGAUACAAUUAAGUAAAUAAAAGAGUACAACGAGAUGGUCACACGCUUCAACACGUACAGUAGCUGAUCGGUCCUGUUCGUCUUCCGUAGUUUCUUAAGAGUCUGUCCAGUUAUUCUGUCUUUUUUGAUCAGGUGCCACUUUUUCACUUUUUUUUAUCCAAUGGGUGCAAAUGCCCCAUUCGGGUUUUUGAGCACAUGAACAAAUUAACAGGAGAGACUUGUAGAUGGCACUUUGAAACAGAGGUUUUUGGGCAAAGAGGGCACUUCCAAGAAUAUAAUAUGGUGGACAGAAAACCAAACUGGUGGCACAGCAAGAUCUCGUUAUAUAUCUAAUCUGAAAGGCUGUUUUUAUGUUUUAUGUAACAAGUGUAUAUGUUAUUGUAAUGCAAUCCGCUAUGUUUUUACCUCACUUAAAUUUCCCACUAUGUGUUGGAGCAAAUAUAGAAGCUCAUGUAAUGAAGUCCAGAAGAACAGGGAUGAUUUUUACAGUCAUUGUAUGAUGCAUCCACUUUUAUAAAUAAAAAGGGCUGUGGUGGCAGUCCUUACCGGAAUAAAAUAAGGAUAGUUUUCCCCUUUUUCGUUUGUUAAGGGUAGUAACUACACAAUUUAGUAAUUACUCAGUUGUAUAAUUAAAAUGACAUGUUUGUUUAUCAUAAUGUAAUUAUAGUGUAAUU
rnacentral:lncRNA from 1 species